rnacentral:snRNA from 1 species
CAUAACUUUAAAAUAUAAA